AGUGAACGCUGGCGGUAGGCCUAACACAUGCAAGUCGAACGGCAGCACAGUAAGAGCUUGCUCUUACGGGUGGCGAGUGGCGGACGGGUGAGGAAUACAUCGGAAUCUACUUUUUCGUGGGGGAUAACGUAGGGAAACUUACGCUCAUACCGCAUACGACCUACGGGUGAAAGCAGGGGAUCUUCGGACCUUGCGCGAUUGAAUGAGCCGAUGUCGGAUUAGCUAGUUGGCGGGGUAAAGGCCAACCAAGGCGACGAUCCGUAGCUGGUCUGCGAGGAUGAGCAGCCACACUGGAACUGAGACACGGUCCAGACUCCGACGGGAGGCAGCAGUGGGGAAUAUUGGACAAUGGGCGCAAGCCUGAUCCAGCCAUACCGCGGGGGUGUAGAAGGCGUUCGGGUUGUAAAGCCCUUUUGUUGGGAAAGAAAAGCAGCAGGUUAAUACCCCGCUGUUCUGACGGUACCCAAAGAAUAAGCACCGGCUAACUUCGCG
rnacentral:rRNA from 1 species